AAGAUUGCGAAUGGUUGCCUUCGGUGCUGGCUUUUGCAAGUGCACGUUGGUGGCUUUCAUCCAAUACCCCUGUGAACCUUUGGCCUCUUGCUAGCUUCGGCUGGCAGAGGAUUUUUACACACACCCAAAUGUAAUGAAAACUAUUGUCGUGCGCAAGCACUAAUGUA
rnacentral:misc_RNA from 1 species